GACGAACGCUGGCGGCGUGCCUAACACAUGCAAGUCGAGCGAAGUGAGUACUACGGUACGAACUUAGCGGCGGACGGGUGAGUAACGCGUGGACAAUCUACCCUGUAGAAUGGGAUAACACCUCGAAAGGGGUGCUAAUACCGGAUAAUGUCGAGAAGCGGCAUCGCUUUUCGAAGAAAGGAGAGAAUCCGCUAUAGGAGGAGUCCGCGUCCCAUUAGCUAGUUGGUGAGGGUAACGGCCCACCAAGGCGACGAUGGGUAGCAGGGCUGAGAGGGUGAACGGCCACACUGGAACUGAGACACGGUCCAGACUCCUACGGGAGGCAGCAGUGUGGAAUAUUGUGCAAUGGGGGAAACCCUGACACAGCAACGCCGCGUGGGCGAAGAAGGCCUUCGGGUUGUAAAGCUCAAUAGUAUGGGAAGAUAAUGACGGUACCAUACGAAAGCCCCGGCUAACUACUUGCCAGCCGCCGCGGUAACAC
rnacentral:rRNA from 1 species